UCGGGUAUGGUGUAACGGCUAACAUUAUCGCCUCUCAUGCUGCGUUCCGCGAUAGCUCGGGGUUCGACUCCCCGUACCCGAA